CAGCUUAACACAUGCAAGUCGAGCGGGCAUAGCAAUAUGUCAGCGGCAGACGGGUGAGUAACGCGUGGGAACGUACCUUUUGGUUCGGAACAACUGAGGGAAACUUCAGCUAAUACCGGAUAAGCCCUUACGGGGAAAGAUUUAUCGCCGAAAGAUCGGCCCGCGUCUGAUUAGCUAGUUGGUGAGGUAAUGGCUCACCAAGGCGACGAUCAGUAGCUGGUCUGAGAGGAUGAUCAGCCACAUUGGGACUGAGACACGGCCCAAACUCCUACGGGAGGCAGCAGUGGGGAAUAUUGGACAAUGGGCGCAAGCCUGAUCCAGCCAUGCCGCGUGAGUGAUGAAGGCCCUAGGGUUGUAAAGCUCUUUUGUGCGGGAAGAUAAUGACGGUACCGCAAGAAUAAGCCCCGGCUAACUUCGUGCCAGCAGCCGCGGUAAUACGAAGGGGGCUAGCGUUGCUCGGAAUCACUGGGCGUAAAGGGUGCGUAGGCGGGUCUUUAAGUCAGGGGUGAAAUCCUGGAGCUCAACUCCAGAACUGCCUUUGAUACUGAAGAUCUUGAGUUCGGGAGAGGUGAGUGGAACUGCGAGUGUAGAGGUGAAAUUCGUAUAUAUUCUCAAGA
rnacentral:rRNA from 1 species